rnacentral:rRNA from 1 species
AUUGAACGCUGGCGGCGGGCCUAACACAUGCAAGUCGAGCGGGGUUUUCGGACCUAGCGGCGGACGGGUGAGUAAUGCGUAGGAAGCUGCCCGAUAGAGGGGGAUACCAGUUGGAAACGACUGUUAAUACCGCAUAAUGUCUACGGACCAAAGUGUGGGACCUUCGGGCCACAUGCUAUCGGAUGCGCCUACGUGGGAUU